rnacentral:rRNA from 1 species
UACGGGGGGAGCAAGCGUUGUUCGGAUUUACUGGGCGUAAAGGGCGCGUAGGCGGCCACCGCAAGUCGACUGUGAAAUCUCCGGGCUUAACCCGGAAAGGUCAGCCGAUACUGCGGGGCUAGAGUGCAGAAGGGGCAACUGGAAUUCUCGGUGUAGCGGUGAAAUGCGUAGAUAUCGAGAGGAACACCUGCGGCGAAGGCGGGUUGCUGGGCUGACACUGACGCUGAUGCGCGAAAGCUAGGGAGCGAACGGAU